AUACACUCAUUAUCUCACUCAGUUAUGCCCCAAACCCUAAUUUUCAUACCAGCUGCAGAUUUUGAUUUACAAAAUCUCUUAUGGUUACUAUCUUGGUUUCCUUAGAAACCACCUUAGACUCGCACUCCAUGUUUUGUAAGAAAAAGGCCAAAUCACCUGAGGUUUUUUUUUGGAUCCUGGAUGUUGUCUCUGAAGGUACUGAUGGCAGAGCUGUUUUGAUGGACAGCCCUUACAGCAGGUGAAAUACCCCGGUGAAAGCCUUCAGGUCUUACACAAAACUCAGCUUGCUUUCACAAACGUAAUGACGAGUAGCUGAAGGUGAAGAUAAUAACUGAGAAAUUAAGACCUGCUCCAGCAAAACACCUAACCAUGCAAUGAAGUGCAUUAUUAGCCCUAGAAUUGCUGUCUUUGUUGUUUGGGAAAUCACCCUGGGAAGGCAAUCUCUUCAGAUGAGUGACAAGCCUUUAUCACCUCCUCCACCCCCUACCACUUUCCUGACUGCUUAAGGGACUCCAGAAUUUCUGCUUCAAUGGAUGGCAAAUACCUUUGCAGCACGUGCACAGUGUCCUGGUUUAGAGAAGAAAUACAGGUUUCUGAAAGGAAGCUCACACUUGAACAGCAAGGAUUUUCAAGGAUCUGUACAUCUGUAGAUAAAGAUAAGUAGAAUUUGUGUGCUUUUGCCACAGCUUUGAACUUUUUAUGUUUGAGACCAAAUUCUUAACAAUGUAGGUUCAAAAAGCUGCUGUGAACAUGACAUAAUUUCUUAUAUCCUGCAAAAAUAUUCUAGACUGCUACAUAAGCUACAUGAAACAGCCAUGCCUGCAGUCAGUACCUGAAGAUGUUAUUUUCUAGAGCAGAGCUCCUGUUUGUGCUCUAAUGAAACAAUGACAUCACAUGAACUGAAAAUGAGUUAAUCUAGAAAAAUAGAUAUUUCAAUUAAGGUAGUAUUGAAGAUGUAGAGGAUUACAUAAAAGCCAGUAAGACUUUAAAGCUAUUUAUUAUACUAUUUAGGAGUGGUACUAAAUACUGUCUAUUAUUCUUACUAAACACAUAAAAUAUAAAACUAAUAAAUAUACUAAAGAAUGUACAAAUAUGAAAGAAAUUACAAAAUAAAUUAUAAUAUAGAAUAAAAAAUCUACUUGAACUUUUUAUGAGAUGGUUAAUUUAGAAAAUACCCGCAACUCAAAUUUAAUCUAAGGCUGCAUAAUCUCACAUACACAAACAUUGUGAUUGGAACAACACUUUGCAAUGAAAAAUAUUCUGACAGCUUUAAAACAUUCUAAAAAAAUACUGAAAUAUUCUGAAAAAUAUUCUGACAAACAGCUCUAAACAUGAUUUCAUCCCCACUUUUCUCCUUCAAUCUGUUAUACUCACCUAUAGCAUUGUGAUUUAAAUUGGAUUGUAAACAUUUCAUUGAAGAGACUAUGCCUACUGGUCUUGUGCAAAGCACCCCUGAAGUUCCCUCCUGAAUGGUGUCCAUAGCCAGGCUCUGUCAUGCUUGUAUUGAACAUGUGAACUUUGCGCGACUCACACAAAAUCCAUGGCUUUUAUAACCAGAAUCUGUAAGAUUGUGAUUGAAAUUAUCUUAAGAAAGGCUGAAAUUAAAGAACAUUACUCACUCACUGGGGGAAAAAACCAAAACACAUAUUUGUUCUAAGUGCCAAUGUCUCUUUCAGACUGGAAUUUUCUUUCUGUCUGAAAAUUUGCAUGAUAAAAGCAAAUGCUGAAUGGACAUGGGACUGAAAUGUUUGGGAGAGGAGACUGUGAAAGUUCCUUUGAAGCUUUAAGGUUUAUAAUGUAAAUAAGUGUUUAGGGGAUUAUUAACAUUCACAUAUUUUACCCCAAAGGCUUUCUGUAAGGUCAACUUUUAAGCAGUUGAAGUAUGCAGAAAGAAUUGUAAAAUGUAUGUGUGAACAUGUUCAAAGACUUUAGAGAGUCUGUGCUGCAGAAUGUUUUUGUUUGACUUUUAAUAUGCUAUUAUAUAUGCCAAAUUAGGGUAUAUAAUUAGUCAUCAUCAGAUAUAUAUAUAACAUAGGUCUUGAGAGUUUUGGAAGUCAAGGAAUGCUAGCAGUUUUUUUAUUUGAAGACAUUUUGGUUCCAGAAUAUCACCAAAAGAACAGACAAGGAGAAGAACUUUCAAAUGAGCUUUAACAAAUGGGAAUAAUUUAUUAUGACUGCAAAGAAGGAGUGAAAUGCUUUAAAUGAUGGAAGAAUGCAGCAGAAAAGGAGAACCUCUCUCCAGAAAAGGAGAACCUGGAUGAUUGAGAGCUUCAUUCUACUUUUCGUUGCCCUACACUUCAAGAUUUCUAAAGAUUUCUAAAACCUGUGGAAGAAAUGACUUAGAACAUCUUGGAUGGCACUGGACAUGUGUUGAAUACGGACUCCAUUGCUUACGGUAGCUAAAGGCUCAGUACCCUCUGUGUUCAGUACGUGUUUUUUAGGGGUUUGAGACCAUGGUUUUCCUGUCAGUACCAUGUCAGAUCUGUGUGCAUGGCUUGAGUAAUCUGAAGGCUCUUAGACAGCAUUGACAUCAGCCUGUUGGGCUGUUUGGGUAGUACACAGCUAUAUAUUUAGCACAGAGGCAGAAAACUGCUUGUAUGGACUUAAAUAUACUGUCUAAAUCAGGAACUGAAUCCAUAUCCUAUCUAUGUUUUAUUUAAAUAUAUAUUUAUAUAUAUUCUACAUGUAAUAUUCUCUGCAUAAAUAGACAUAUUUUCACUUGGCAUUAAAGCUAUAAACAUGACAAACUUUUCAAGUAAAGUUAUCUUCAUAGUUCAUCCUUGAAUAAAUUUCAUAACUGUCUCUGAAGGAGAGACCUGAGUAGGCAGAAAAACGGAGAUAACUUUUGAAAAGUACCCUGUUACAGCUCAGAAGAACAAUUAACUAAUGAAUUUAGUCUAUGAAUUUGAAAAUAUAUUUAACUGACAUGGACCAUAACAACAACAAUUGCUCUGUUGAAGAGUGUGACUGGCUGUAACUGCUAAUUUACAGGAUUUGGCGGGAAAACUAACGUCUGCAUGUAAAAGAGGAAUUCAGUGCAGCUUUCAAACGCUGGAUAUAGUUCAAAGAUCAAACUAAAAUAUUAAUUGAAACUAGAAAAAUUAUAAAUGUCAACUUCCUUACUAAAAAAAUUGUUAUAUUUGAUGUAAGUAAAAUAUAUUAAGUUUUAUCUCCAUAUAACCAUAGAAUCACAGGAUAGUUAAGGUAGGGAGGGGACUGUCAGAAGGAAUCUGGUCCAGCCCUUUGAUCAAGCAGGGGCACUUAGAGCUUGAAGACAUAUAUGGACAUCUAGUUUGUAUAUCUCCAUAUAUGGAGACUCCAAAAAAUGCAGCUAAAUUAUGAAUUAAGAUGUCUCUAUGUUACUUUGGAAUUUCUGUGUUACAAAUGGAAUAAUACAAAUCAGAAGCUAGGCAUUUUAGAGAAAAUUAGGAGUACAUAUGGAGAAAUGUAGACAGUAUAAGACUAAA